rnacentral:lncRNA from 1 species
AUUCUAUAACUUUUUAGGGUUGAUUUGGGAAGCAGAGCACAGCAGCCCAAAUUUGCUUGUAAUGUCGGUGGCUACAGGAAACUACGAGCCUCCAGCCCAUUGUCCAACAACCACCCACCAACACCAAAGAGGCGAGGAAGGGGAAAGCAUCCUCUCAACCCUGGCCGAGGAGCCCUAUCAAAGUGAACGGCCCACCCAAGCUCUGACUCCUACCUGUCCUCCCCUGGCACGACCCCCACCCAGGAAUGAAUAAGUGCAUGGAAUGAAUGAAGUUACCAAGCAUGGGAAUUCUUUGAUUCAAAUUAUGGAGUCUGCCCGUCCUGGGCCUCCCGCCUACAUGAAGAAACUCACGGUUCCUUCACCUGUGCUCAUUUGAGUUCACAAAUCCCGUGGAAACUACCACGGAGAGGGUCACUGCAGACGUCUUCUCCCCUGGACCAAACACUGUCAUGGAGGUGAGGAUGCUGCCAACAGGAUGCUUCCUGUAUUGGACGCCACACAUCCCCAUCAGCUUAACAAGGAAAGCUGCCACCUCCACUGCCUUCCCAUACAACUUGCUCGCGUACACACCUUGGUCCAGCCCUCUACCCCAGACUGUAUCUGCUGGCAACAUAGGCCAGCGAUCACUGCCCUAGGACACCUGUCCCCUCCUGUGCCAAGAAUUCAGAAGCCACAGAUGGCUAUCUGAGACACGGUCACCACCUGGAUCAUUUUCAAGGCACGUCCACAGCCAAUCCUUCAUCUGCAGAGUCUGAGCUGACUAGUCCCAGGGCACUCUUCCUCCCAUUUCUCCUCCAUGCAGCCCCACUGUCCCUUUCAACUGCUCAUCAGCAUUCCUGACCUGUCUUGGCAUUUGGUCAUCAGUCAGCAACCCACUCACAUAGCCCAGACUCUGUGGAGGGUCCCCAGGGGAUAAAACACCAGCCCCGAGCAGGCAUGAAGACAGCUCCCACAUCUGGGACGCUGGUGAAGGUGCAAAGGACCACUGGAGUGUUCAAGAGAGGCAGCUGGCCCAGAAUGAUGCAGAGAGUCAGCCAAGCUCUUCCUGAGAGAGGGAAGGGGAUUCUGAGGGCAGGAAGGUUGACCAGCACAGCCCUGGUGCAUUCAGCCAACAGGCCCGCCCACUCAGAUCACAGGGCCCCCUCCAGCUGGUGACGAUGGUGCUGGGAUUUCCCAAGCGUAUUCCUAUUCAUUGUCCUGUCCUCCCUCCUCCUUCCCCCUUCUCUCCCUCAGGCCCGACUCCACCGUCCUGAACUCUGGAUUUAGAGCUCGGAGUGCCAGCCUGCCUGGGGUUCUGUGGACUUGGUUUCUCACGUGGUCUCUCUCAUGGACGCCAGCAACGGCUCUCCCCUGGAUCCUCCCGGGAUCCUCCCUCACGGGCUGAGGGUCUCCUGUCUGCUCUCAUUACCUGGCUCCUCUUCAGUCUGACCAAAUCCUUCUCAAAGCAGAGAAGAAAUGUCCUGUCCACAUUUCAGAAUUUUAAAUCGAUUGUGAUUUUUAUGAGAAUUUGAAUUGGUACAGCAUUUUUGUAAUACAAUUUUAGAAAUAUUUUAAAUGUUAAACUAUUUUCGCCCUUUCACUUUAACCCAAUACCCAUGUAAAUAUAUCCUACUUAGAAGAAAACCAUGUUUGCCUAACAAUUCAUAUUCAGAGACGUUGAUUUUAUUGUAUUUAUCAUAUGGCAAAUCGGAAACAAAUUAUAUGUCCAUUAGGAAGAAAGAGUUUAAUUAAUUAUGGUGCAUGCCUACUUUAGAAUUAUAGAAAGUGGUUCCAAAAGUGAGAUAGAUCUACUUAUCUUAUUAUCUAUCUAUCUAUUUAUCUAUCUAUCUAUCUAUCUAUCCUGUUGUGGAAAUAUCUUACAUCCAUUUUAUAAAGUGAUAAAGGAAUAUCAAUAUGUAUACCAUUGUUAUCAUAUAUUAAAUAAAAACAAUAUAUUGUUAUAGUUUA